CCUCUAUCAACCCCCCACCCCUUCCUCGCUACCCCUAUCUCUGCAGGUUACAGAGGAGGUUCACUCCAUUCUGAGGUUGUUGCUUCCUUUGACAGGAUCCAGCCCAGUAGAACCGUCUGGUCAGGAGAACAGUCUGGAUACAGCACUGGUUCUGCUGCAGAACGUGGCACGCAAACUAGCAUUGAACCACACAGCACAGCAACCAGUGAUCCAGGUCACGGCACCAAUGUAACAGUAUAACUUUAGACCGUCCCCUCGCCCAUACCCGGGCGCGAACCAGGGGCCCUCUGCACACAUCAACAACAGUCACCCACGAAGCAUCGUUACCCAUCGCUCCACAAAAGCCGCGGCCCUUGCAGAGCAAGGGGAACUACUACUUCAAGGUCUCAGAGCAAGUGACGUCACCGACUGAAACGCUAUUUAGCGCGCACCGCUAACUAAGCUAGCCGUU
ensembl:lncRNA